GUGGUAAGGACGUGGAGAAACUGGAACACUCAUAAAUUGCUGGUGGGAGUGUAACAUGAUGCAGCUGCUUUGAAAAACAGUGUCUUAGUCUUGUUUUCUGUUGCUGUAACAGAAUACCAUAGGCUGGUUAAUUUAUAAAUGCUAGACCUUUUGAUAUUAUUCCAUAGGUCCCUGCAGCACUGUUUUUCUUCCUUUUUUCUGUGUUUCAGGCUGUAUAAUUUUCUUUCUUUUCUUUCUUUCUUUUUUUUUUUUUUUUUUUUGAGAGAGGGUCUCACUCUGUUGCCCAGGCUGGAAUGCAGUGGCGCUAUCUCAGCUCACUGCAACCUCUGCCCUCCUGGGUUCAAGCAAUUCUCCUGCCUCAGCCUCCUGAGUAGCUGGGACGACAGGCGUGUGCCACCACACCUGACUAAUUUUUGUAUUUUUUGGUAGAGAUGGGGUUUCAUCAUGUUGGCCAGGCUGGUCUUGAACUCCUAGCCUUAAGCAAUCUGCCCACCUCAGCCUCCCAAAGUGCUGGGAUUACAGGCACGAGCCACCACGACCAGCCCAGACUGUAUAAUUUCUAUUGAUCUAUCUUGAAGUUCACCGACUCUUCUUUAUCAGCUCCAUUCUGCUAUUGGACCCAUAGAGUUAAUUUUAAAUUUCAGAUAUUGUGUUUUUCAGUUCUAUAAUUUUCAUUUGUUUUGUUUGUUCAUUUGUUUGGCUUUAGUUUCUAUUUCACUGCUAUUUUUCCAUUCAUUUCAAGAGUGUUCAACUUUGUCUCAUGGAGAAUGGUUACAAUAGCUGCAUUAAAGUUUUUGUCUGACAACACCAAUAUUUGGAUGAUCAUCUCAAAUGAGCUCAUCACAGCUGAAAUAAUCUAUUUUUAGUCUUUUCCCUUGAGUACUGCUCGUAUUUUCCUGUUUUUUUUUUUUUGUAUAAUGAGUAAUUUUGGACUGUCUAUUAGACAUUUUGAAUACCAUGUUCUGAGCCUCUAGGUCUAGUUAAAAUCCUCUCGAGGGUGUUGAUGUUUGUUUGGUUAAGCAGAGAAUCAACCUAGUGAGACUCAGACCACAAGUUUUGUCUCACCUUCUGUGGACAGUGGCUCUAAUGUCAGUUUAGUUUUUAAAGCCUUUGCUAUGAGGUUUGGGUUUGCCCAGCGCAUGUGCCACUCAGGGGUUAAUCUAGGACCUGGGCAGUGGUUCACAUGGCAGUUGAGUUUUCGAAGCCUCUGCUUUGCUCCUUUGGGCCUGUGUGGCAUAUAUGCACUUGGAGGUGAGCCUGGGGCUUAGCUCAUACACAGAAUCAGGGGAUCCUCUUCUCCAGUUCUUCUCUCCCUUUAGAUCCUUCAGAUCCACCCCCAACCUCCGCUCCAGGGGCCCCUUUAUGUGGUUUCUC
rnacentral:lncRNA from 10 species